CAUCCCGUUAUAGUACCUUCCACUCCCGUCUGGUUGAAUGGAAGGCUAUGCUAAUGGGUUAGAAAAACAUUGUCAUGGUCUGAGGGUGUGGUUAACUUUUGUGUACCCCACUAAAUAAAUUGACAAGACAUGUAAGG